UAUUGUAGCUUGCUAUCGUAUAACUUAGUGGCACACGGGUGAGUAAUGUAUAGGAAUCUACCUAGUAGUACGGAAUAAUUGUUGGAAACCGCAACUAAUACCGUAUACGCCCUACGGGGGAAAAAUUUAUUGCUAUUAGAUGAGCCUAUAUUAGAUUAGCUAGUUGGUGGAGUAAUAGCCUACCGAUGCAAUGAUCUAUAGCUGAUCUGAGAGGAUGAUCAGCCACACUGGAACUGAGAUACGGUCCAGACUCCUACGGGAGGCGGCCCUGGGGAAUAUUGGACAAUGGGCGAAAGCCUGAUCCAUCCAUGCCGCAUGAGUGAAGAAGGCCUUUGGGUUGUAAAGCUCUUUUAAUGAAGAAGAUAAUGACUGUACUCAGAAAAUAAGUCCUGGCUAACUCCGUGCCAGCAACCACGGUAAUACAGAGAGGGCUAGCGUUAUUCCGAAUUAUUGGGCGUAAAGGGCGCAUAAGCGGAUUACUAAGUUAAAAGUGAAAUGGCAUGGCUCAACCUUGGAAUUGCUUUUAAAACUGCUAAUCUAGAGAUUGAAAGAGGAUAGACGAAUUCCUAUUGUAGAGGUGAAAUUCGUAACUAUUAGGAGGAACACCAGUGGCGAAGGCGUCUAUC
rnacentral:rRNA from 1 species